GAUGAACGCUGGCGGCGUGCCUAAUACAUGCAAGUCGAGCGAAUGGAUUAAGAGCUUGCUCUUAUGAAGUUAGCGGCGGACGGGUGAGUAACACGUGGGUAACCUGGCCAUAAGACUGGGAUAACUCCGGGAAACCGGGGCUAAUACCGGAUAACAUUUUGAACCGCAUGGUUCGAAAUUGAAAGGCGGCUUCGGCUGUCACUUAUGGAUGGACCCGCGUCGCAUUAGCUAGUUGGUGAGGUAACGGCUCACCAAGGCAACGAUGCGUAGCCGAUGUGAGAGGGUGAGCGGCCACACUGGGACUGGGACACGGCCCAGACUCCUACGGGAGGCAGCAGUGGGGAAUCUUCCGCAAUGGACGAAAGUCUGACUGAGCAACGCCGCGUGGGUGAUGAAGGCUUGCGGGUCGUAGAACUCUGUUGUUAGGGAAGAACAAGUGCUAGUUGAAUAAGCUGGCACCUUGACGGUACCUAACCACAAAGCCACGGCUAACUACGUGCCAGCCGCCGCGGUAA
rnacentral:rRNA from 1 species